rnacentral:rRNA from 1 species
GACGUAGGGGCGAGCGUUGUCCGGAUUCAUUGGGCGUAAAGAGCUCGUAGGCGGUUUGGCAAGUCAGGUGUGAAAUCUCCGGGCUCAACUCGGAGAGGCCACCUGAUACUGCUAUGACUAGAGUCCGGUAGGGACCAUGGAAUUCCUGGUGUAGCGGUGAAAUGCGCAGAUAUCAGGAGGAACACCGGUGGCGAAGGCGGUGGUCUGGGCCGGUACUGACGCUGAGGAGCGAAAGCGUGGGGAGCGAACAGGAUUAGAUACCCCUAGUAGU